UCAAAUCUUUAAGAGCAAACGGUGGAUGCCUUGGCAUCUGGAGCCGAAGAAGGACGUAGCAAUCUGCGAUAAGCCUCGGGGAACUGAUAAGCAAGUUUUGAUCCGAGGGUGUCCGAAUGGGGAAACCCCGCUGGGCGGCGUGCCGACCUAGUGACUCCCGCCUGAAUAUAUAGGGCGGGUAGAGGGAACGUGGGGAAGUGAAACAUCUCAGUACCCACAGGAAGAGAAAGCAACCGCGAUUCCGUUAGUAGUGGCGAGCGAAACCGGAACAGGCUAAACCGAGUACGUGUGAUAUCCGGCAGGAGUUGCGUAUUCGGGGUUGUGGGACUUUUCAGACAGUUCUGCCGAUCUGUCGGCGUUACAAGAAGGUAUAGACGAACCGCAUUGAAAGGCGGGUCAUAGAGGGUGCCAACCCCGUAGUCGAAAUGCCUCUCUUGACGCGAAGAGUAUCCCAAGUAGCACGGGGCCCGAGAAAUCCCGUGUGAAUCUGUCAGGACCACCUGAUAAGCCUAAAUACUCCCAGAUGACCGAUAGCGGACAAGUACCGUGAGGGAAAGGUGAAAAGUACCCCGGGAGGGGAGUGAAAUAGUACCUGAAACCGUUUGCUUACAAACCGUUGGAGCCUCCUUAGUAGGGGUGACAGCGUGCCUUUUGAAGAAUGAGCCUGCGAGUUAGCGAUAUGUGGCGAGGUUAACCCGUGUGGGGUAGCCGUAGCGAAAGCGAGUCUGAAUAGGGCGAUUCAGUCGCAUGUCCUAGACCCGAAGCGAAGUGAUCUAUCCAUGGCCAGGUUGAAGCGACGGUAAGACGUCGUGGAGGACCGAACCCACUUAGGUUGAAAACUGAGGGGAUGAGCUGUGGAUAGGGGUGAAAGGCCAAUCAAACUUCGUGAUAGCUGGUUCUCUCCGAAAUGCAUUUAGGUGCAGCGUUGCGUGUUUCUUGCCGGAGGUAGAGCUACUGGAUGGCCGAUGGGCCCUACAAGGUUACUGACGUCAGCCAAACUCCGAAUGCCGGUAAGUGAGAGCGCAGCAGUGAGACUGUGGGGGAUAAGCUUCAUAGUCGAGAGGGAAACAACCCAGACCACCAUCUAAGGUCCCAAAGCGCGUGCUAAGUGGGAAAGGAUGUGGAGUUGCUUUGACAACCAGGAGGUUGGCUUAGAAGCAGCCACCCUUGAAAGAGUGCGUAAUAGCUCACUGGUCAAGUGAUUCCGCGCCGACAAUGUAACGGGGCUCAAGCACGCCACCGAAGCUGUGGCAUUGACAUUAUUGGUAGGCCUUCGUGGUCCAGCCGUGUUGAUGGGUAGGAGAGCGUCGUGUGGCCAGCGAAGCGGCGGUGUGAACCAGCCGUGGAGGCUACACGAGUGAGAAUGCAGGCAUGAGUAGCGAAAGACGUGUGAGAAACACGUCCUCCGAAAGACCAAGGGUUCCAGGGUCAAGCUAAUCUUCCCUGGGUAAGUCGGGACCUAAGGCGAGGCCGACAGGCGUAGUCGAUGGACAACGGGUUGAUAUUCCCGUACCGGCGAAGAACCGCCCAAGCUAAUCCAGUGGUGCUAAGAGUCCUAACCCGGCUGAGUGGAUCCCUUCGGGGUGAAGCCGGCCGGUCUAACGCUCGACCCCGUUCUGGUGCGGCUAGCGUAUUAACAGGUGUGACGCAGGAAGGUAGCCCAACCCGGGCGAUGGUUGUCCCGGGGCAAGUGCGUAGGCCGAGAGAUAGGCAAAUCCGUCUCUCACAUAGGCUGAGACACGAUGCGGAUAAAAAGUGGGUGAUCCUAUGCUGCCAAGAAAAGCAUCGACGCGAGGUUCAAGCCGCCCGUACCCCAAACCGACUCAGGUGGUCAGGUAGAGAAUACCAAGGAGAUCGAGAGAAUCGUGGUUAAGGAACUCGGCAAAAUGCCCCCGUAACUUCGGGAGAAGGGGGGCCUUCCGCUUAUUAGGAUUUACUCCGAAAGGGCGUGGAGGCCGCAGAGACUAGUGGGUAGCGACUGUUUACUAAAAACACAGGUCCGUGCCAAGUCGCAAGACGAUGUAUACGGACUGACGCCUGCCCGGUGCUGGAAGGUUAAGAGGACCGGUUAGCCGCAAGGCGAAGCUGAGAAUUUAAGCCCCAGUAAACGGCGGUGGUAACUAUAACCAUCCUAAGGUAGCGAAAUUCCUUGUCGGGUAAGUUCCGACCUGCACGAAUGGCGUAACGACUUCCCAACUGUCUCAACCGCGAACUCGGCGAAAUUGCAUUACGAGUAAAGAUGCUCGUUACGCGCAGCAGGACGGAAAGACCCCGUGACCUUUACUAUAGCUUUGUAUUGGUGUUCGGUGUGGCUUGUGUAGGAUAGGUGGGAGACUUUGAAGCGGUGACGCCAGUUACCGUGGAGUCAUUGUUGAAAUACCACUCUGGUCACUCUGGAUAUCUAACUUCGAACCGUAAUCCGGUUCAGGGACAGUGCAUGGUGGGUAGUUUAACUGGGGCGGUUGCCUCCCAAAAAGUAACGGAGGCGCCCAAAGGUUCCCUCAACCUGGUUGGCAAUCAGGUGGCGAGUGUAAGUGCACAAGGGAGCUUGACUGUGAGACUGACAGGUCGAGCAGGGACGAAAGUCGGGACUAGUGAUCCGGCAGUGGCUUGUGGAAGCGCUGUCGCUCAACGGAUAAAAGGUACCUCGGGGAUAACAGGCUGAUCUUGCCCAAGAGUCCAUAUCGACGGCAUGGUUUGGCACCUCGAUGUCGGCUCGUCGCAUCCUGGGGCUGGAGUAGGUCCCAAGGGUUGGGCUGUUCGCCCAUUAAAGCGGUACGCGAGCUGGGUUUAGAACGUCGUGAGACAGUUCGGUCCCUAUCCGCUGCGCGCGUAGGAAAUUUGAGAGGAUCUGACCCUAGUACGAGAGGACCGGGUUGGACGAACCUCUGGUGUGCCAGUUGUUCUGCCAAGAGCACCGCUGGUUAGCUACGUUCGGGAUGGAUAACCGCUGAAAGCAUCUAAGCGGGAAGCCGGCCUCAAGAUGAGAUUUCCAUACCUUCGGGUGAGAGGCUCCCAGCCAGACUACUGGGUUGAUAGGCCGGAUGUGGAAGCGUGGUAACACGUGAAGCUGACCGGUACUAAUAAGCCGAUGAUUUGAUAAC
rnacentral:rRNA from 1 species